AGUACUGGAAAAGCCUCAGCUGGACUCCUCUGGCACUGCAGUUCAAGAGGACGUGGAGCAGCUGGAAAGAGCGCAAAGAGAAGCAUCAAGAGUGAUUAGAGGUCUCAGAUGUGACCAAGGAGCUCAGUCUUCACAAAAACAAGCUUGCAGAUGACACAGAACUGGGAGGAGCUGUUGACUUCUUCAAAGACAGGGAGGCCCUGCAGAGAGACGUGGACAAAUGAGAGGGCUGGGCAAUCACCAGCUGUGUGAAGUUCAACAAGGGAAGUGCCGGAUUCUGCACCUGGGAUGGGACAACCCUGGAGGUACAGACAGACUGGGGACUGAGAUGCUGGAAAGCAGUGCCGUGGAAAGGGACCUGGCGGUCCUGGUCAGUGAUUGAUUUCCAAAGACGAUUUCCACCUUGAUCCAAAUUAUAUUUUCUGCUGUUGAAGGUGUUGAGCAGAGAUGUUCUUCACAGUGCUAACAGAGCUGACCUCACGCUCACAGGCGCAGCCCAAAGUGAUCACUGGGAUCAGUGAAGUCUGAGCGAGUUUAAGUGAGUAUUUAUCUGCAUAUCUAACCAGCUUCAGGAUUGUGCUGAGGACCCUGCUGCCAAAGGUUGUGUUGACCCAGAAAGGAACUGGAGUAGAUCCAAACACCUUUGAAUCCAGCUCUCUGAUGUAUCCAGAUUAAUAGGGCAGCUGCAGCAAUGGUGAGUUUUGAACACACAGUUUUUCAUUCUUGGUUUAAUAUCUGUGCUUGACACUGUGAUACUCAUCUCUUGCACAGUUUUGUGUUUUAUGGUGUUUCUCUUGCCCUUUACUGCACAGUGUUAUAACCCUUGGGUCAGUGUCUGUAGACAAGGGUAUGCAGAAGAUCUCGAGCAGCAAGAGGAGGACUUGUUUCUCUU